GAUGAACGCUGGCGGCGUGCCUAAUACAUGCAAGUCGAGCGAACGGACGAGAAGCUUGCUUCUCUGAUGUUAGCGGCGGACGGGUGAGUAACACGUGGAUAACCUACCUAUAAGACUGGGAUAACUUCGGGAAACCGGAGCUAAUACCGGAUAAUAUUUUGAACCGCAUGGUUCAAAAGUGAAAGACGGUCUUGCUGUCACUUAUAGAUGGAUCCGCGCUGCAUUAGCUAGUUGGUAAGGUAACGGCUUACCAAGGCAACGAUGCAUAGCCGACCUGAGAGGGUGAUCGGCCACACUGGAACUGAGACACGGUCCAGACUCCUACGGGAGGCAGCAGUAGGGAAUCUUCCGCAAUGGGCGAAAGCCUGACGGAAGCACGCCGCGUGAGUGAUGAAGGUCUUCGGAUCGUAAAACUCUGUUAUUAGGGAAGAACAUAUGUGUAAGUAACUGUGCACAUCUUGACGGUACCUAAUCAGAAAGCCACGGCUAACUACGUGCCAGCAGCCGCGGUAAUACGUAGGUGGCAAGCGUUAUCCGGAAUUAUUGGGGCGUAAAGCGCGCGUAGGCGGUUUUUUAAGUCUGAUGUGAAAGCCCACGGCUCAACCGUGGAGGGUCAUUGGAAACUGGAAAACUUGAGUGCAGAAGAGGAAAGUGGAAUUCCAUGUGUAGCGGUGAAAUGCGCAGAGAUAUGGAGGAACACCAGUGGCGAAGGCGACUUUCUGGUCUGUAACUGACGCUGAUGUGCGAAAGCGUGGGGAUCAAACAGGAUUAGAUACCCUGGUAGUCCACGCCGUAAACGAUGAGUGCUAAGUGUUAGGGGGUUUCCGCCCCUUAGUGCUGCAGCUAACGCAUUAAGCACUCCGCCUGGGGAGUACGACCGCAAGGUUGAAACUCAAAGGAAUUGACGGGGACCCGCACAAGCGGUGGAGCAUGUGGUUUAAUUCGAAGCAACGCGAAGAACCUUACCAAUCUUGACAUCCUUUGACAACUCUAGAGAUAGAGCUUUCCCCUUCGGGGGACAAAGUGACAGGUGGUGCAUGGUUGUCGUCAGCUCGUGUCGUGAGAUGUUGGGUUAAGUCCCGCAACGAGCGCAACCCUUAAGCUUAGUUGCCAUCAUUAAGUUGGGCACUCUAAGUUGACCGCCGGUGACAAACCGGAGGAAGGUGGGGAUGACGUCAAAUCAUCAUGCCCCUUAUGAUUUGGGCUACACACGUGCUACAAUGGACAAUACAAAGGGCAGCGAAACCGUGAGGUCAAGCAAAUCCCAUAAAGUUGUUCUCAGUUCGGAUUGUAGUCUGCAACUCGACUACAUGAAGCUGGAAUCGCUAGUAAUCGUAGAUCAGCAUGCUACGGUGAAUACGUUCCCGGGUCU
rnacentral:rRNA from 1 species